GGAAUAUGGAUUUAAUGAACCGUAAGAACGAACGAAAUUGUCGAGCACGUCAGAAGAAAAAGUAUAAAGUGAAAUAAUUCUAAUUAUAGUCAGGCACACGUCAUAGGUUAACGAAUACGAAAAUUAAUACAGGCUGCAUCAGAUGAACUUAGAGAUAAAUAUACUCAAAGCGUUGCUUAAUGCAGUAUACUAUACAGAAUAACCUAAUGGAAAGAGGUCAUCUUAAUAUGUUCCACUUUGAUGUUGGACAUGAAAGCAUAUUAGCAGUAAAUAGAAUGGUACUAAAGGAUUAACACAAUACAUGAAAAACAAAUCGACCCAUGUAAUGCAUGCAAAAUCACAUUUGACGAAUGAUCGAUACCAAUCGAGUUACGUCUGGAACAAUAAUAAACAAGAAGAUCAACGUUGCAGCAACGUUUUAACGUUUUGUCGGAAAGUUGCAGGACGAGUUGUCUAGCCGCGUUAGAUUUAGAAAGUAGAACCCGAUCUGCCGACCGGCCCUUGCCAGUGGAGAAACCGAUACAAGAAGUAGAACGGCUGCAAAAAAAUCUGCAGUCCAAAUUGAAAUCGUGAUUGGCAGACUUCGAUUGCCUCGCCCGGCGAUCCGCAUCGUUUUCGGUCGUAAUACUUCAGAGUCGGAGACAUUCAGCCUCUGUUCCACCUAUCUGUUUUUCGUCUUUGCCAUAAAUCCCAUUUCGGGAAUGUUAUUUCGCGGCCGGCAAGUUUAAUUGAGUUUCGUCAUUCAAGAAGCUCGACACAGCCACCAGAUCCCCUUUAUCUAUCCAUGAGGAGCACAAACACGAAUUCCAGAUGAACAGACUAGCUUAUUAUUUUCA